ACCCACCCCUGCACUCCGGGCAGCCGCCCGGCGCAGGCUCCAGGCUGCUGUCGCUCUCCCUGGCGUAGAAUGCUCACAGGCCCUGGGCCAUCGGGAACCACUGGACCAGAGAGGUCCGGGAGGGAGCCAACAUCUAUUAAGCUCUUACUGUGUGUCCAACGAUCUACGGGGAACCCUCUACCAAGGGUCUGGAAGUGGGAAUCUCUGCGUAGACCAGAAGAGGGCUCUAGGAGUGGGGAAGUUUAAGGGGCUCUGGCUAGAGCUGGGAACUCCGGGGGCCUCCGGGUAACCAAUGGCCCACGGGUGAAAGUAAGCGCAGCUUCGUGCAACACCCCAACUCUGAGCUGGGACUGCUGUCCCGGGCUGAGGAGAAACGAAGGGCGAGUAUGUUAGGGGCGCAGGAACCGAAAUGGCCUCAGUCUCCUGUCACUGCCCCGUCACGAUGCUGGGGAAUCUCCAGGCCAGUAACCCAGCCCCCACCCCCUCCCGCACACUCAGGGGCCGCUGGACAAAGACCUGACGGAAUGGGAGGGGCCUGCGGGCCGGCCCUCGGGCUCCGGCCGCCGGAUCCUUCUGGGACCCGAACCCGCAAAUCCUGGCUCCCUCUCCCCAGCCCGCAGACUCCCCAGAGCCCGCCGCUCGCUACCAUCACUGCCUCGGUCCAGAUCGGGCGGCGAAGCGGGUGCCCGUCGGCGGCCGAGCGGCGAUCCCAUCCCUGGUCGCCCCCUUCCUCCCGGGAAAUGACCCUGGGCUCCCACGCACCGGCUCGGGUCUCUCCCGGCCUUGCCCUCCGACCUCCGCCUAGUUAGCCCCUCUGCCCCUCAGCCCCCGCCCUCCCCGGGCCUCGCACGGCCCCGUGCCCGCGGACAAAGCUCCGGACAUCGGACCGCACAGUCGCCACCCCCUGACCCCCGGCCGGCCCGCGCGCUCCCGCGCCUGCCCCCUCCCGGGCCUGCGACGCGUACCUCGGCAUCCCGGCCGGGUCCUAGACACUCUGUCCGUCUGCCGUCUCAUUGGUUGGUUGAAGACUGUGCCUCCUGAUCAACGCUUGACUCCGCCCAAAGAAGUACCACCCCUCUUCUCCUGCUCAAGGACAGCCGGAAUGACUCUGCAAACCGAGAAAGAUCUAGGGCCAAAUAAAGGCUAAAAUGCAAAAAUUGUCAGGCCUCAUGUCUUAUUUUUGUUUGAGAAAUGCAGGCAUUUCCAUGACAGCCAGCAGGCUCUUAACGGGGGCUGGGGAUAUUAGCCCUAGGAUAGGGCUCCUCAGCAUAAGAGAAUGCCCAAACUCAGUCCCCAGGACCUGUGUCCCCACUCACCCACACCCCCACAACCUCCCC
rnacentral:lncRNA from 1 species